rnacentral:lncRNA from 1 species
AAGUCCACAAAACACACAUAUUAUUAAUUCCACACAAUACAUAAUAAUGUGUUCUAGCAUUACACAUAAUACCAAGUUUAAGGUUUCCACAAAAUCUGCACGUACUUAGACCACAUUUCAUUGUUUGAUGUGGUUCAAGCAAAAGAACUGCCCAAGCCUAUCUACUAAUUGCCCUCACACUCCUGGGUACACAUAGAUCACAAUUCAUUGUUCGAUGUAGUUCAAGCAAAAGAACCCUCCAAGCCUACCUACCAAUUGCCCUCACACUCCUGGGAACUUUUCACUGAUGAAAUUGCGAGCCUAGAUUAACUUGUGGUCGAAUGGCAACUUGUUGAAGGCUCUAGCAAUGUGAGGGUGCGCCACCAGAUAAUUGAAAUACAGAGAUAUGUGGUUCUGCUCAAAACCUGGAAGGUUUAUCAAACUAUCAAAAAGAUCAUCUGGCACAUCAGUGCCCCCCUGUGGCAACCUUCUCAAUAGCAUUGGAUAAGGUAUCCCCGACACUUUUGAAUGCAGCAAUCAACCCCUCCUCUUCACUAUCACGUUUUUUUGCCUUCUUCCUGGUCUUGCUUGUAGAAGAUGUU